UACGUAGGGUGCAAGCGUUGUCCGGAAUUAUUGGGCGUAAAGAGCUCGUAGGCGGUCUGUCGCGUCGGCUGUGAAAUCCCGAGGCUCAACCUCGGGUCUGCAGUCGAUACGGGCAAACUAGAGUAUUGCAGGGGAGACUGGAAUUCCUGGUGUAGCGGUGAAAUGCGCAGAUAUCAGGAGGAACACCGGUGGCGAAGGCGGAUCUCUGGGCCGUAACUGACGCUGAGGAGCGAAAGCAUGGGUAGCGAACAGG
rnacentral:rRNA from 1 species